rnacentral:rRNA from 1 species
CACGUGGGGUGCGAGCGUUGUCCGGAAUUAUUGGGCGUAAAGAGCUCGUAGGCGGUGUGUCGCGUCGGCCGUGAAAACCUGCAGCUUAACUGUGGGCUUGCGGUCGAUACGGGCAUCACUGGAGUUCGGCAGGGGAGACUGGAAUUCCUGGUGUAGCGGUGAAAUGCGCAGAUAUCAGGAAGAACACCCGUGGCGAAAGCGGCUCUCUGGAACGGUACUGACGCUGAGACGCGAAAGCGUGGGGAGCAAACAGG